GAUGAAGAACGUAGCGAAAUGCGAUAAGUAAUGUGAAUUGCAGAAUUCAGUGAAUCAUCGAAUCUUUGAACGCACAUUGCGCCCCUUGGUAUUCCGAGGGGCAUGCCUGUUCGAGCGUCAUUACACCACUCAAGCUAUGCUUGGUAUUGGGCGUCGUCCUUAGUUGGGCGCGCCUUAAAGACCUCGGCGAAGCCACUCCGGCUUUAGGCGUAGUAGAAUUUAUUCGAACGUCUGUCAAAGGAGAGGAACUCUGCCGACUGAAACCUUUAUUUUUCUAGGUUGACCUCGGAUCAGGUAGGGAUACCCGCUGAACUUAAGCAUAUCAAUAAGCGGAGGA
rnacentral:misc_RNA from 1 species